CAGGGAGACAAUUAAUUGAUUGCGNUNUCUGAGUAAUUAAUCUCUAGGCCGCAAUCCUGUCACCUUAAGGUCGAUCGGUACCUCAGAUUUUUGUAUUAAUUUUAUAAUUAAUUCAUUUAUUUCAGUUCCUAAACUUGUCUAGGUCACACCCAACAAGGGUUUCUCCUGGGCCAUUAGCUCAGGUGGUUAGAGCGCACCCCUGAUAAGGGUGAGGUCCCUGGUUCAAGUCCAGGAUGGCCCAUUCGUUGUUGGGGGUAUAGCUCAGUUGGUAGAGCGCCUGCUUUGCAAGCAGGAUGUCAGCGGUUCGAGUCCGCUUACCUCCACUGAAACCUACCCUGGUAACUAAAUUCCGGAGAAAUUGUUGAUUUGGCUUAGACUUGUCUAUUUGAAAAGAACCUAGCUUCUUAUCAUCUUUUUAGUUGAUAAUAUGCUGGGCUCACAUGGAUUUAUUCCAUGAGAAUUCAGUAGAACCUUGAAAACUGCAUAGAUUAGAAAGAAUAAAGCAUCUCAUGGAUGCAUAGUUCUGGUUGGUGUUUUAGCUAAAAACUAAAAUGAUCAAUUUUCAGAAUUCAUGUUUAAUUCUUGAGUAAUAGCCGAGCACAAUUGAUUAUGUGUUUGUAUUUAA
rnacentral:tRNA from 1 species